UGAGGUACCUCGGGGGGCCCAUUUGGGCUGAGAUGCUGUUCCAGCGGACCCGUAGAACCUGAACCGGUUAGCACCGGCGGAGGGAAGGUCGAGAUCCUCUCA
rnacentral:ncRNA from 1 species